rnacentral:rRNA from 1 species
GCACUCCCGGGGCGUCUCUAUCUCAUUGCGAGAGGAGGCGCACCUAGAGCGUACACGCUGAUACCCGAAAGAUGGUGAACUAUGCCUGGCCAGGACGAAGCCAGGGGAAACCCUGGUGGAGGUCCGCAGCGAUUCUGACGUGCAAAUCGAUCGUCGGAGCUGGGUUUAGGGGCGAAAGACCAAUCGAACCAUCUAGUAGCUGGUUCCCUCUGAAGUUUCCCUCAGGAUAGCUUGCGCUCGGGUUAGACGAGUCUCAUCCGGUAGAGCGAAUGAUUAGAGGCCUUGGGGUCGAAACGACCUCAACCUAUUCUCAAACUCCAAAUAGAUGAGAACUCCGGCUUUCUUGAAAUUUAUUUCUGAAGCCGGGGGCUCGGAUCAGAGUGCCAAGUGGGCCGAUUUUGGUAAGCAGAACUGGCGCUGUGGGAUGAACCAAACGCGGAGUUAAGGCGCCUCAAUCGACGCUCAUGUGAAACCAUGAAAGGCGUUGGUUGCUUAAGACAGCAG